AGCGCGCGUAGGUGGUUUGUUAAGUUGGAUGUGAAAGCCCCGGGCUCAACCUGGGAACUGCAUCCAAAACUGGCAAGCUAGAGUAUGGUAGAGGGUGGGUGGAAUUUCCUGUGUAGCGGUGAAAUGCGUAGAUAUAGGAAGGAACACCAGUGGCGAAGGCGACCACCUGGACCUGAUACUGACACUGAGGUGCGAAAGCGUGGGGAGCAAACAGGAUUAGAUACCCCAGU
rnacentral:rRNA from 1 species